rnacentral:rRNA from 1 species
CCUACGGGAGGCUGCAGUGGGGAAUAUUGGGCAAUGGGCGCAAGCCUGACCCAGCAACGCCGCGUGAAGAAAGAAGGCUUUCGGGUUGUAAACUUCUUUUCUCAGGGACGAAGAAAGUGACGGUACCUGAGGAAUAAGCCACGGCUAACUACGUGCCAGCAGCCGCGGUAAUACGUAGGGGGCAAGCGUUAUCCGGAUUUACUGGGGGUAAAGGGCGUGUAGGCGGGACUGCAAGUCAGAGGUGAAAACCACGGGCUCAACCUGUGGCCUGCCUUUGAAACUGUAGUUCUGGAGUACUGGAGAGGCAGACGGAAUUCCUGGUGUAGCGGUGAAAUUCGUAGAUAUUAGGAGGAACACCAGUGGCGAAGGCGGUCUGCUGGACAGCAACUGACGCUGAGGCGCGAAAGCGUGGGGAGCAAACAGGAUUAGAUACCCGGGUAGUC